rnacentral:rRNA from 1 species
CAGUAGACGCUGAAGACUUUAGCUUGCUAGAGUUGGAAGAGUUGCGAACGGGUGAGUAACGCGUAGGUAACCUGCCUAUUAGUGGGGGAUAACUAUUGGAAACGAUAGCUAAUACCGCAUAAUAGUGUUUAACACAUGUUAGAGACUUAAAAGAUGCAAUUGCAUCACUAGUAGAUGGACCUGCGUUGUAUUAGCUAGUUGGUGGGGUAACGGCCUACCAAGGCGACGAUACAUAGCCGACCUGAGAGGGUGAUCGGCCACACUGGGACUGAGACACGGCCCAGACUCCUACGGGAGGCAGCAGUAGGGAAUCUUCGGCAAUGGGGGCAACCCUGACCGAGCAACGCCGCGUGAGUGAAGAAGGUUUUCGGAUCGUAAAGCUCUGUUGUAAGAGAAGAACGUGUGUGAGAGUGGAAAGUUCACACAGUGACGGUAACUUACCAGAAAGGGACGGCUAACUACGUGCCAGCAGCCGCGGUAAUACGUAGGUCCCGAGCGUUGUCCGGAUUUAUUGGGCGUAAAGCGAGCGCAGGCGGUUUAAUAAGUCUGAAGUUAAAGGCAGUGGCUUAACCAUUGUUCGCUUUGGAAACUGUUAAACUUGAGUGCAGAAGGGGAGAGUGGAAUUCCAUGUGUAGCGGUGAAAUGCGUAGAUAUAUGGAGGAACACCGGUGGCGAAAGCGGCUCUCUGGUCUGUAACUGACGCUGAGGCUCGAAAGCGUGGGGAGCAAACAGGAUUAGAUACCCUGGUAGUCCACGCCGUAAACGAUGAGUGCUAGGUGUUAGGCCCUUUCCGGGGCUUAGUGCCGCAGCUAACGCAUUAAGCACUCCGCCUGGGGAGUACGACCG